rnacentral:lncRNA from 1 species
GGGUUUGGGUUCACACGGAUGCUGUUUUGUUCUCUCUAUCGUGUUCCAACAAGGAAUCCAAUUCCAGGUCCAGAUGAUGCGCAGAAUAAGCAGUGAGCUCUUCAGGGCCACUGAGUUUUAUGAAAUGUUUUGGUGAAAGUGGAUUUUACUAUUCCCGGGUUGAAGAUUGUCUUGGUGGCCUUCAACUGUGAGUGACGGUGAAUCAAGCUGUGGACGUGGCAUGCAGGUUUUACAUGGCCAUCAGUUUUCAAAUCAGUGGGAUCAGUCUCUGAGAAUCUUCUGGGACAUGUGGCACGAGUCCACCGAGUUUCGUGCAGAGCCGCCCAACGGGUUCCCAAAGGGGCUGUGCCCUGUCGCAUUCCCACCUGGCAGGGACAAAGGUCCCCGGGACCGCACAUCGUCUCGGCAUUUGGUGUCGUCAGUGUGGCUUGGGAAGGCUCCCGAGCCCCUCAUCCUGCCGCCCUCCCGUAGGUUACUGAACUUUCCACCAUUUCUCAUGAUUUUGUUCAUUGCUCUCUGUCUCCUCGGGAGCCACCUGGGCUCCGGCCCCACAUAUCCCAGCCAGGCCCAGGGCUUGCAACCAGGAAGGCACUCAGUCUAUUGUGCUAGCUGCUCCCUGGGCCUGGAAAGCUUUUGGUAGCUCUGUCACCCCUCCUGGGUGACCCCUGCCUCUGCUCUGGUGAAGCUCCCAUCCCUCUGGUUCACGCCAUCUCCCCAGGGCUCUCCAGCCCUGCAAGCCUUAAUUGACACUGCAUUGUGGCC